UGAGGAACAUGACCUUCGGCGGGGGAUAGCCGGCCCAACGGCCGGGUAAUACCGCGUACGACCACUUUGGGACAUCCCUAGGUGGUGAAAGCAGCAAUGCGCCGAUGGAGAGCCUCGCGGCCUAUCAGCUAGUUGGUGAGGUAACGGCUCACCAAGGCGACGACGGGUAGCUGGUCUGAGAGGAUGGCCAGCCACAUUGGGACUGAGACACGGCCCAGACUCCUACGGGAGCAG
rnacentral:rRNA from 1 species